rnacentral:rRNA from 1 species
GACGAACGCUGGCGGCGUGCUUAACACAUGCAAGUCGAACGGAAAGGCCCCUUUGGGGGUACUCGAGUGGCGAACGGGUGAGUAACACGUGAGUAACCUGCCCUUGACUUCGGGAUAACUUCAGGAAACUGGGGCUAAUACCGGAUAGGAAUCCUUGCUGCAUGGUGGGGGUUGGAAAGCUUCGGCGGUUUUGGAUGGACUCGCGGCUUAUCAGCUUGUUGGUGGGGUAGUGGCUUACCAAGGCUUUGACGGGUAGCCGGCCUGAGAGGGCGACCGGCCACAUUGGGACUGAGAUACGGCCCAGACUCCUACGGGAGGCAGCAGUGGGGAAUAUUGCACAAUGGGCGGAAGCCUGAUGCAGCAACGCCGCGGGCGGGAUGACGGCCUUCGGGUUGUAAACCGCUUUCAGCAGGGGCGAAGCUUGUGGUGACGGUACCUGCAGAAGAAGCAACGGCUAACUACGUG